GACGAACGCUGGCGGCGUGCUUAACACAUGCAAGUCGAACGGAAAGGCCUGCUUUCCCUUGUGGUUUGCGGGUACUCGAGUGGCGAACGGGUGAGUAACACGUGAGUGAUCUGCCCCCAACUUGGGUAUAAGCCUGGGAAACUGGGUCUAAUUCCCGAUAGUACUGCAGGGUGGUGCCUGUGGUGGAAAACGAUUUUCUAGUGGUUGGGGAUGAGCUCGCGGCCUAUCAGCUUGUUGGUGGGGUAAUGGCCUAGCAAGGCGGCGACGGGUAGCCGGCCUGAGAGGGUGGACGGCCACAUUGGGACUGAGUCACGGCCCAGACGCCUACGGGAGGCAGCAGAGGGGAAUAUUGCACAAUGGGCGGAAGCCUGAUGCAGCGACGCCGCGUGGGGGAUGACGGGCUUCGGGUGGUAAACUCCUUUCGACCGAGAGGAAGCCACCUGGUUGGAAGGGUGGUGACGGUAGUGGUAGAAGAAGCACCGGCUAACUACGUG
rnacentral:rRNA from 1 species